GAUGAACGCUGGCGGCGUGCCUAAUACAUGCAAGUCGAGCGAACGGACGAGAAGCUUGCUUCUCUGAUGUUAGCGGCGGACGGGUGAGUAACACGUGGAUAACCUACCUAUAAGACUGGGAUAACUUCGGGAAACCGGAGCUAAUACCGGAUAAUAUUUUGAACCGCAUGGUUCAAAAGUGAAAGACGGUCUUGCUGUCACUUAUAGAUGGAUCCGCGCUGCAUUAGCUAGUUGGUAAGGUAACGGCUUACCAAGGCAACGAUGCAUAGCCGACCUGAGAGGGUGAUCGGCCACACUGGAACUGAGACACGGUCCAGACUCCUACGGGAGGCAGCAGUAGGGAAUCUUCCGCAAUGGGCGAAAGCCUGACGGAGCAACGCCGCGUGAGUGAUGAAGGUCUUCGGAUCGUAAAACUCUGUUAUUAGGGAAGAACAUAUGUGUAAGUAACUGUGCACAUCUUGACGGUACCUAAUCAGAAAGCCACGGCUAACUACGUGCCAGCAGCCGCGGUAAUACGUAGGUGGCAAGCGUUAUCCGGAAUUAUUGGGCGUAAAGCGCGCGUAGGCGGUUUUUUAAGUCUGAUGUGAAAGCCCACGGCUCAACCGUGGAGGGUCAUUGGAAACUGGAAAACUCGAGUGCAGAAGAGGAAAGUGGAAUUCCAUGUGUAGCGGUGAAAUGCGCAGAGAUAUGGAGGAACACCAGUGGCGAAGGCGACUUUCUGGUCUGUAACUGACGCUGAUGUGCGAAAGCGUGGGGAUCAAACAGGAUUAGAUACCCUGGUAGUCCACGCCGUAAACGAUGAGUGCUAAGUGUUAGGGGGUUUCCGCCCCUUAGUGCUGCAGCUAACGCAUUAAGCACUCCGCCUGGGGAGUACGACCGCAAGGUUGAAACUCAAAGGAAUUGACGGGGACCCGCACAAGCGGUGGAGCAUGUGGUUUAAUUCGAAGCAACGCGAAGAACCUUACCAAAUCUUGACAUCCCUUGACAACUCUAGAGAUAGAGCCUUCCCCUUCGGGGGACAAAGUGACAGGUGGUGCAUGGUUGUCGUCAGCUCGUGUCGUGAGAUGUUGGGUUAAGUCCCGCAACGAGCGCAACCCUUAAGCUUAGUUGCCAUCAUUAAGUUGGGCACUCUAAGUUGACUGCCGGUGACAAACCGGAGGAAGGUGGGGAUGACGUCAAAUCAUCAUGCCCCUUAUGAUUUGGGCUACACACGUGCUACAAUGGACAAUACAAAGGGCAGCGAAACCGCGAGGUCAAGCAAAUCCCAUAAAGUUGUUCUCAGUUCGGAUUGUAGUCUGCAACUCGACUACAUGAAGCUGGAAUCGCUAGUAAUCGUAGAUCAGCAUGCUACGGUGAAUACGUUCCCGGGUCU
rnacentral:rRNA from 1 species